GACGAACCGUGCAAACGUUAUUCGGAAUCACUGGGCUUAAAGGGCGCGUAGGCGGGCUGUCAAGUCAGAGGUGAAAUCCCACAGCUUAACUGUGGAAGUGCCCCUGAUACUGACGGCCUCGAGGGAGGUAGGGGCGUGUGGAACUUCCGGCGGAGCGGUGAAAUGCGUAGAUAUCGGAAGGAACGCCGGUGGCGAAAGCGACACGCUGGCCCUCUUCUGACGCUGAGGCGCGAAAGCCAGGGGAGCAAACGGG
rnacentral:rRNA from 1 species